ACUAAGCGUACACGGUGGAUGCCCUGGCAGUCAGAGGCGAUGAAGGACGUGCUAAUCUGCGAUAAGCGUCGGUGAGGUGAUAUGAACCGUUAUAACCGGCGAUUUCCGAAUGGGGAAACCCAGUGUGUUUCGACACACUAUCAUUAACUGAAUCCAUAGGUUAAUGAGGCGAACCGGGGGAACUGAAACAUCUAAGUACCCCGAGGAAAAGAAAUCAACCGAGAUUCCCCCAGUAGCGGCGAGCGAACGGGGAGGAGCCCAGAGCCUGAAUCAGUGUGUGUGUUAGUGGAAGCGUCUGGAAAGGCGCGCGAUACAGGGUGACAGCCCCGUACACAAAAAUGCACAUAUUGUGAGCUCGAUGAGUAGGGCGGGACACGUGGUAUCCUGUCUGAAUAUGGGGGGACCAUCCUCCAAGGCUAAAUACUCCUGACUGACCGAUAGUGAACCAGUACCGUGAGGGAAAGGCGAAAAGAACCCCGGCGAGGGGAGUGAAAAAGAACCUGAAACCGUGUACGUACAAGCAGUGGGAGCCUCUUAAUGGGGUGACUGCGUACCUUUUGUAUAAUGGGUCAGCGACUUAUAUUCUGUAGCAAGGUUAACCGAAUAGGGGAGCCGAAGGGAAACCGAGUCUUAACUGGGCGUUAAGUUGCAGGGUAUAGACCCGAAACCCGGUGAUCUAGCCAUGGGCAGGUUGAAGGUUGGGUAACACUAACUGGAGGACCGAACCGACUAAUGUUGAAAAAUUAGCGGAUGACUUGUGGCUGGGGGUGAAAGGCCAAUCAAACCGGGAGAUAGCUGGUUCUCCCCGAAAGCUAUUUAGGUAGCGCCUCGUGAAUUCAUCUCCGGGGGUAGAGCACUGUUUCGGCAAGGGGGUCAUCCCGACUUACCAACCCGAUGCAAACUGCGAAUACCGGAGAAUGUUAUCACGGGAGACACACGGCGGGUGCUAACGUCCGUCGUGAAGAGGGAAACAACCCAGACCGCCAGCUAAGGUCCCAAAGUCAUGGUUAAGUGGGAAACGAUGUGGGAAGGCCCAGACAGCCAGGAUGUUGGCUUAGAAGCAGCCAUCAUUUAAAGAAAGCGUAAUAGCUCACUGGUCGAGUCGGCCUGCGCGGAAGAUGUAACGGGGCUAAACCAUGCACCGAAGCUGCGGCAGCGACGCUUAUGCGUUGUUGGGUAGGGGAGCGUUCUGUAAGCCUGUGAAGGUGGCCUGUGAGGGUUGCUGGAGGUAUCAGAAGUGCGAAUGCUGACAUAAGUAACGAUAAAGCGGGUGAAAAGCCCGCUCGCCGGAAGACCAAGGGUUCCUGUCCAACGUUAAUCGGGGCAGGGUGAGUCGACCCCUAAGGCGAGGCCGAAAGGCGUAGUCGAUGGGAAACAGGUUAAUAUUCCUGUACUUGGUGUUACUGCGAAGGGGGGACGGAGAAGGCUAUGUUGGCCGGGCGACGGUUGUCCCGGUUUAAGCGUGUAGGCUGGUUUUCCAGGCAAAUCCGGAAAACCAAGGCUGAGGCGUGAUGACGAGGCACUACGGUGCUGAAGCGACAAAUGCCCUGCUUCCAGGAAAAGCCUCUAAGCAUCAGGUAACAUCAAAUCGUACCCCAAACCGACACAGGUGGUCAGGUAGAGAAUACCAAGGCGCUUGAGAGAACUCGGGUGAAGGAACUAGGCAAAAUGGUGCCGUAACUUCGGGAGAAGGCACGCUGAUAUGUAGGUGAAGCGACUUGCUCGUGGAGCUGAAAUCAGUCGAAGAUACCAGCUGGCUGCAACUGUUUAUUAAAAACACAGCACUGUGCAAACACGAAAGUGGACGUAUACGGUGUGACGCCUGCCCGGUGCCGGAAGGUUAAUUGAUGGGGUUAGCGGUAACGCGAAGCUCUUGAUCGAAGCCCCGGUAAACGGCGGCCGUAACUAUAACGGUCCUAAGGUAGCGAAAUUCCUUGUCGGGUAAGUUCCGACCUGCACGAAUGGCGUAAUGAUGGCCAGGCUGUCUCCACCCGAGACUCAGUGAAAUUGAACUCGCUGUGAAGAUGCAGUGUACCCGCGGCAAGACGGAAAGACCCCGUGAACCUUUACUAUAGCUUGACACUGAACAUUGAGCCUUGAUGUGUAGGAUAGGUGGGAGGCUUUGAAGUGUGGACGCCAGUCUGCAUGGAGCCGACCUUGAAAUACCACCCUUUAAUGUUUGAUGUUCUAACGUGGGCCCCUAAUCGGGGUUGCGGACAGUGUCUGGUGGGUAGUUUGACUGGGGCGGUCUCCUCCUAAAGAGUAACGGAGGAGCACGAAGGUUGGCUAAUCCUGGUCGGACAUCAGGAGGUUAGUGCAAUGGCAUAAGCCAGCUUGACUGCGAGCGUGACGGCGCGAGCAGGUGCGAAAGCAGGUCAUAGUGAUCCGGUGGUUCUGAAUGGAAGGGCCAUCGCUCAACGGAUAAAAGGUACUCCGGGGAUAACAGGCUGAUACCGCCCAAGAGUUCAUAUCGACGGCGGUGUUUGGCACCUCGAUGUCGGCUCAUCACAUCCUGGGGCUGAAGUAGGUCCCAAGGGUAUGGCUGUUCGCCAUUUAAAGUGGUACGCGAGCUGGGUUUAGAACGUCGUGAGACAGUUCGGUCCCUAUCUGCCGUGGGCGCUGGAGAACUGAGGGGGGCUGCUCCUAGUACGAGAGGACCGGAGUGGACGCAUCACUGGUGUUCGGGUUGUCAUGCCAAUGGCACUGCCCGGUAGCUAAAUGCGGAAGAGAUAAGUGCUGAAAGCAUCUAAGCACGAAACUUGCCCCGAGAUGAGUUCUCCCUGACUCCUUGAGAGUCCUGAAGGAACGUUGAAGACGACGACGUUGAUAGGCCGGGUGUGUAAGCGCAGCGAUGCGUUGAGCUAACCGGUACUAAUGAACCGUGAGGCUUAACC
rnacentral:rRNA from 1 species